CAUGUCUGGACAGCUGGGGCUUUCAGCUUUUCUAAGCUCAGAAGCCUGUAGUUUCGAAAAGUACCGGCAGGGGGCACUCACUCACAGCCUUACCUGAGUGGUCUCAGUUCUGAUUUCCUAAGUGUUCUCGUGUCUUUCUGCAGACAGUUCUUGUACCUGAGCCUGCAGGACAUCCUGAACUUCCACGUGGAUAAAGAUAAGGAGCAAUUGUCCUUCUACAAGGACUAUUACCGGGGCGAUAUUGUCAGAAGUUUCCAGGAGCUCUGCCCUUGUCAGGAGGAAACCACAAAACCAGGUCUGGCGAGAUGGCUAAACUGGUGAAGAGGCUUGCUGCCAAACCUGAUGGCCCGUUUGAUCCCUGGAACACACAUGGAAACUGAGGCACAGACAGUAGGCCUCCAUCCGGAGAUUGGACCAAAGUGACAAUCCACCUUAAGUGGAGGAGCCAGGGUCUCAACUAGAUGACCUGGCUCUGCAGACUAUUGAUCAUCAUGAAGCAACAGAACAUGCUUGAGAACUACAUGGAUGUAUGGAUUCAUGGCAGAGCAACACAGCCCUCUUGUUCCUGGAUCUAUAUUUGGGAUCAAGAUAAGACUUUCUCUGUGGAAAUGGAUUCAGGAUCUAGAUUGCUGCUCGGGGGAUUCUUGUGUUUAUAUGUCAUUAUUAUGGUCAAUGUUUUGCACAGGGACAAUGUUUUUACAUGAUAACCCUGGAAACUAUAGAUGUCUUUUCAGGUUUUCUGAGAUCUGAGGAAAGUAGAACUCAGAGGCUGGGUAUCUCACCUUACUGGGGACAAGAUAUUUAUACAAAGGCCGAACUUAGGCUAGGAACUGGUACAGAGAGACAGAAUCACAUGGGAAGCAAAGACAACCUAACCAGGGGACUGUGAGCAUGAAGCAGGAUCUGUGUUGCAGAAUCUAUUCUCUGAAGGUUAUGAACUUCUGUGGGACUUCUGGUGCAUCAUAUCACUUUGCUGUAGGAGAUGAGCUUUGUCUCUGGAUCAUGAAGGAGGUGGAGACCUUGGUCAAGAGCUUGAGCGGGGGUAGGGAUGAGCUCAGUGGUAGAGUAUUUGUGUAACAGCCUUCCUCCUGGAAACAUGCUACAUUCCCCACUCAGUCUGCCCCGUGCCCCUUUCUUCUCAUGAAUACCAUAGUGGCC
rnacentral:lncRNA from 1 species